UUCUGAUGUGAGUGACUAUCUUACUCAGUCGGAAUUGGAUGCGAAAUAAUACAUGUGGUGGUUCAUCAGCAUCACUUCUCAAGGUUGGUCUGUCAUGCUUAAAGCGGAUAUAGUGACUAGUUUGUUAUGUGCUUUGCAGAACGGAUGGUUCACCAUAAUAGGAGCAUCACAAGACAUUGUAGUCAUUGGUGAAGAAUGAUAUGCAGUGAAACACAAGGAU